GAAGCUUGGGCAAAACCCUCUCACCCUUUGACUACUUUUUAGAACUGUCCUACUAACUGCUUCUUUUCAUCUAAACUGAACUGAACUUUUAAACUGAACCAUCAUCUCAAUCCAACUGUCACAUAAUUCAAAUUCUGAAAUCUAUUUUAAUUUUUAGGACUUAUACCCCGUGAAUAAGGAACAACUAAUUGACAUUAGGAGAAAUGGAAAUCUACUAGCUGAAUUUCAACAAAAAUUUUGCAUAAUUGGUUCAUGGAAUUGAGUAUCAGCAACAUGAUUUAAGACCAAAAAGCAUUUCUUAGAUCUGAAAAAUCUAGCUGAGGACUAAGGUAAAAAAUGAGUCCAGAAGAAAGGACAGAUCUCUUCAUUAGCCAGAGGCCAGGAAGCUGAAGUAGUGAAGAACAUCUACCUGGUUUCAUUGAUAUUACUCAAUUCCUGCACGUGUUUUACACUAUAUUGGAUUACUUGCUGCCUAGGGGAGGGAGGUGAGAAGAAGGGAGGAAGAGGAAUUUGGAACACAGAAUUUUGCAAGGGGGAAAAGAUGGACAUUCAAUGAAACAGGUGGGAAAAAAAACCAAGACCC
rnacentral:lncRNA from 1 species